UAAAAGGUGACCAAGCCAAUGGCUGUUUGCUCAGUGACCUUAAGUAGUUAAAGUGGUUAAUUAAUCAUUGUGUUUGAAUUAAUACAGAACAAAUCCUCCAUUUUCACCAAAGGAAAAGAGGGAUCCCCCAGAAUCCAUCCUCUCGGGUGGGUAAGAGCUCUUUAUUCUGGGCAUUUUCAUUUCUCGCUACAGGAAGAGACUGCGUUCGACCCAACGCGUGGCUCGCGGCUUGGGGUGUAAACGGCGCUGCAAGUUUGGAGCCUCCGGCGGCCCGGCCGCCCCGCCCUGCGGUUGGAGCGGGAGCCUCUGCGCGAUUCGCCAAUGAAACCCCGAGGAGCUCCAUGACCUCAUCAGAAGACUCUCUCAUUGGCUGCCGCUGCCACGCGGCCCUGCCCUUGCCUUUAAGGCGCUGGGAAGCUGCGUGGGCUCCGCUCCCCAGGUGGGUACAACCUCAUGGCAGAUUGAGUUCCUUACCUAGUCCGCAGGACUGGAGGGCUUCUCUUCAAAUGACAGGUCACUCAGGGAAGUUUCUGCUUUCUGACAGAGACCUGCAGGUGCGUUUCCGCCAGCCAAAGUACUGGCUUCCUGUGCUGACCUCUGACCGGUGUGUUAUUGGGGGGUAGCUGGUGCCUUCCUCCUUUCCUGGUGCCUUCCUCCUUUACUGUACCUGGCUGAUCACACUUAUUCCCACUUACUUUAAUCACGUGUGUUAACAGGUAUUGUCUUGCUUCUCAGUGGAUGAAUUUCUCAAGCCCGACCUUACUGUGGAAAGCCUGUGAUUAUCUCUCUCAGUUUUAACCUGGGAAUUAACUGACGCCCAGAGAGGGAAUAUGACUUUCCCAAGGUCACACAGCAGCCUGCUACCUGAGAACUCAGAAUGGCGUUGCAGUCCAGGAACCUCACCCUGAACAACCACACACCAGUAAGGGCUAACCUGGGCUUCUUCACGUUCUAGCAGCUGCCUCUCACUUUGACAGGCUGGAGUCACAGACCGGAGCCUGGCAACCUCCUAGGGAAGAGCCCUCGUUUUACGAGUGAGGACACUGAAGGAUACCUGGCUAUAAACCUCAUGGUGAUGGACAGAGGCAGGACUUGAACCAAGCCUCCUGCUUGUCUCUUCCAGUAAUGAUGCCCAAAUGCUGGAAGAAACAAUGUCCACGAGUCCCCUGGGAAAGGUCUGAGUGAUAAACAUGGUUUCAGUA